rfam:Erinaceus europaeus unplaced genomic scaffold scaffold00316, whole genome shotgun sequence
AAAAAAAUCAGGGGAGAUACCAUGAUCACGAAGGUGGUUUUCCCAGGGCGAGGCUUAUCCAUUGCACUCCGGAUGUGCUGACCCCUGCGAUUUCCCCAAAUGUGGGAAACUCGACUGCAUAAUUUGUGGUAGUGGGGGACUGCGUUCGCGCUCUCCCCUU